AAUAUAUGACUAGAUAAACAACAAAUGAAAGUUAUUCAGUUAAGAGGGGAAACAUGAAAAAAAAAAAAAGAUGGAGAAACAUGAUCAGCAAAAUGAAGAUCGAGAAGCGUGUAGAUGAUGAACCCAUUCUGAAAAACAUGCAUAGAACUAUAACGAAAAGCAGAUGGAAUAAGGGGCCAGAAGGUAAAGUGUGUGCCUCAACUCUGUUGCUAAC
rnacentral:lncRNA from 1 species